UACAGAGGGAGCAAGCGUUGUUCGGAAUUAUUGGGCGUAAAGAGCGUGUAGGCGGCCGCACAGGUCCGUUGUGAAAACUGGAGGCUUAACCUUCAGACGUCGAUGGAAACCGUGCGGCUAGAGUCCGGAAGAGGAGAAUGGAAUUCCUGGUGUAGCGGUGAAAUGCGCAGAUAUCAGGAAGAACACCAAUGGCGAAGGCAGCUCUCUGGGACGGUACUGACGCUGAGACGCGAAAGCGUGGGGAGCGAACAGG
rnacentral:rRNA from 1 species